ACGCUGGCGGCGUGGAUAAGACAUGCAAGUCGAACGAGAGAAUUGCUAGCUUGCUAAUAAUUCUCUAGUGGCGCACGGGUGAGUAACACGUGAGUAACCUGCCCCCGAGAGCGGGAUAGCCCUGGGAAACUGGGAUUAAUACCGCAUAGUAUCGAAAGAUUAAAGCAGCAAUGCGCUUGGGGAUGGGCUCGCGGCCUAUUAGUUAGUUGGUGAGGUAACGGCUCACCAAGGCGAUGACGGGUAGCCGGUCUGAGAGGAUGUCCGGCCACACUGGAACUGAGACACGGUCCAAACACCUACGGGUGGCAGCAGUCGAGAAUCAUUCACAAUGGGGGAGACCCUGAUGGUGCGACGCCGCGUGGGGGAAUGAAGGUCUUCGGAUUGUAAACCCCUGUCAUGUGGGAGCAAAUUAAAAAGAUAGUACCACAAGAGGAAGAGACGGCUAACUCUGUGCCAGCAGCCGCGGUAAUACAGAGGUCUCAAGCGUUGUUCGGAAUCACUGGGCGUAAAGCGUGCGUAGGCUGUUUCGUAAGUCGUGUGUGAAAGGCGCGGGCUCAACCCGCGGACGGCACAUGAUACUGCGAGACUAGAGUAAUGGAGGGGGAACCGGAAUUCUCGGUGUAGCAGUGAAAUGCGUAGAUAUCGAGAGGAACACUCGUGGCGAAGGCGGGUUCCUGGACAUUAACUGACGCUGAGGCACGAAGGCCAGGGGAGCGAAAGGGAUUAGAUACCCCUGUAGUCCUGGCAGUAAACGGUGCACGCUUGGUGUGCGGGGAAUCGACCCCCUGCGUGCCGGAGCUAACGCGUUAAGCGUGCCGCCUGGGGAGUACGGUCGCAAGAUUAAAACUCAAAGAAAUUGACGGGGACCCGCACAAGCGGUGGAGUAUGUGGCUUAAUUCGAUGCAACGCGAAGAACCUUACCUGGGCUUGACAUGUAAUGAACAACAUGUGAAAGCAUGCGACUCUUCGGAGGCGUUACACAGGUGCUGCAUGGCCGUCGUCAGCUCGUGUCGUGAGAUGUUUGGUUAAGUCCAGCAACGAGCGCAACCCCUGUUGCCAGUUACCAGCACGUGAAGGUGGGGACUCUGGCGAGACUGCCCAGAUCAACUGGGAGGAAGGUGGGGACGACGUCAGGUCAGUAUGGCCCUUAUGCCCAGGGCUGCACACGUACUACAAUGCCCAGUACAGAGGGGGCCGAAGCCGCGAGGCGGAGGAAAUCCUGAAAACUGGGCCCAGUUCGGACUGUAGGCUGCAACCCGCCUACACGAAGCCGGAAUCGCUAGUAAUGGCGCAUCAGCUACGGCGCCGUGAAUACGUUCCCGGGUCUUGUACACACCGCCCGUCACAUCAUGGAAGCCGGUCGCACCCGAAGUAUCUGAAGCCAACCGCAAGGAGGCAGGGUCCUAAGGUGAGACUGGU
rnacentral:rRNA from 1 species